GUUGGCUCCCUUCCCGGGCUGCUCUGCUAGUAUUUAGUGGGUCCUAGUGCUGUGUAGGGCCCUUUUCUCAGGCAAAAUUCUAACAUCUGACCGCACCCUCCUCUCUUUGCUAUUUAAAAAAAGAAAGAAAGAAAGAAAGAAAGAAAGAAAGAAAGAAAGAAAGAAAGAAAGAAAGAAAGAAAGAAAGAAAGAAAGAAAGAAAGAAAGAAAGAGGGGAAAGAAAGGGAGGGAUAAAGAGGAAAAAAUAGCUGUGCUCCUGCUUCUUUCGUUCUAAGAUAAAUUCUCCCGGAGACAACCUCUCCCACUAAUUGUGUGUUAGCCAUGAAUUUUAUCUCAAGAGCUGACGCACUGCGCUCUCAACUGGUGUUGAAAAGCAGCCUGUUACAGUGUGGGAUUCAUAAAAGGGCCUCUAUGGUGUGUGAGAAAGAAUAUCUGUGUGCCUAGGCAGGAAACUUUUUGAUCUACAGAAAAGCCAGAAGACAUCUAGCAUACCAGAAUAGGAGUCCUGUCUUAACUGAGCAAUAUACACUAUGGAGAGAUCCUUCAAAACCCGUCGGGACGAAUAACAGAUGAAUUCAUAAAACUGUUCAUCUCUGUUAUCCUGAAUGGUCACUCAGACAACAUUUUACUCAACUAUAAAGGGGAACACUUAAAGUGCAUAUGAGAAGAGAAGAGAAUGACCACAGGAGAAAAUCAUCUCAGGCCACGAUUUCCUAACCAGAAUCUGUAAGAGAGAUUCCAAGAACUUGGGAGAAGCAUAUUGUGUGAUGUUCUAUAUUUAUGAGACCCAUAGCAAACUGUGAAGAGAUAACAGAAUGCUUUUUGCGUGAGCUGAAACAGUAGAUGAAAUCUUUCAUUAAAAUUACUCAUACUUUGGGUCCUAUUCUUAUUUAUAAAUAAAUAUUAUUGCAAACAUUUU
rnacentral:lncRNA from 1 species